rnacentral:rRNA from 1 species
AAAGGAAUAGACGGGGGCCCGCACAAGCGGAGGAACAUGUGGUUUAAUUCGAUGAUACGCGAGGAACCUUACCCGGGCUUGAAUUGCUAAUGAAUGGAGUAGAGAUAUUUCAGCCGCAAGGCAUUAGUGAAGGUGCUGCAUGGUUGUCGUCAGCUCGUGCCGUGAGGUGUCGGCUUAAGUGCCAUAACGAGCGCAACCCUUGUCCAUAGUUGCCAUCAGGUCAUGCUGGGCACUCUGUGGAGACUGCCACCGUAAGGUGUGAGGAAGGUGGGGAUGACGUCAAAUCAGCACGGCCCUUACGUCCGGGGCUACACACGUGUUACAAUGGGUCAUACAGAAGGCAGCUACCGCGCAAGCGGAUGCGAAUCCCGAAAGUGAUCCUCAGUUCGGACUGGGGUCUGCAACCCGACCCCACGAAGCUGGAUUCGCUAGUAAUCGCGCAUCAGCCAUGGCGCGGUGAAUACGUUCCCGGGCCUUGUACACACCGCCCGU